AAAUAAAUGUUUAAAGUUUGAGCACGUCCAGUUAAAAAUCGAAAACUCCAAGAUGGGAUUCGUUUUGUCGAAAUUUCGGAAGGAAAAAUCAACGGAGGAGGUUCUGGAGGCCCUGCAAGUACAGAUCAAAGACCUGGAGAAAUACAUGAUAAAUACUCAAGAGAGGAAGCGGAGCUUCGUCACGAACUUUCUAGGAAUCACAAUUGGCGCAUACAUCGUUGGUUUUGGAUUAUGGUGUUGCUUUUACUUUCCACCGACAUGGAAAGAGCGCAUCGUGUACUUGGUACCGCUGCUCCUGUUCCCCGUUAUCAUCGUCUUCAUGCGGCAGAUGUUUACGUGGUACUUUCAGCGCAAGCUCAACAAAAAUGGCGAUAAGCUAGCCCAGCUGAAGGAGAAGAAGAAAAAGAUAUUAGAGCAGGUCAUGGACAAAGAGACCUACAAGGUGGCAGUGAAUCUCCUGGAACGCUUCGGGGACAGGAAGUUAAACCAGUCGUUUAGUCGUUCCCCCGCAAUGCAGCCUCAACGAACGCCACAACCUGCAGCAAGACUGCCAGGAGCCAGUACGCAGCAGAGAUUGUUGACUCCGUAUAGCAGCGUCUACCGCAACGUCAACAACAACAAUCUAAACAGCUCGACACAGUCGAUGACGUCAGCAUCUCCGAAUGUGGGCGCAGUGCAGGAACUGCGUCGGCGUACGCCUUUUCCAGUGGUAGAUCAGAACCGGUCACGUAGCGCAGUGGACCGUAUUGUAGACUUUAUUGUAGGAGACACUCCGAUUCGCUACGGCAUGAUCUGCAAAGAGUGCGAUGGCCAUAACGGUAUGCUGCCGGAGGAUGAAUAUGUUUUCACUUCAUUUCGUUGUGCCUUUUGCAAUGCUUUGAACCCAGCGCGCAAGAAGCGACCAGUGGCUCCUCGACUCUCACUAAAUCAGCAAACACCACCUUCAAACAAUCGCAUCGAUAGCUCCGGCAGCGAUUCAUCAGAUGACUACGACUCUGAUAAGGAGCAACUGUCGCGCCGGGCUUUGUUACAAGAUGAGCCUUCGGAUGACAUUGAUAAGGAGGAUGUUGAGGCCAAUCCCAGUGCCCAAAGUGCAGCAACUGUGACCGAAAUAGGAGCAAUGGAGACUGAAACUACUGAGGCUGUAGCUGAGGAAGCUGCUGGAGUGGUCGAGGUCGACAGCAAAGCCGAAGCUGAAGAAGCUGCUGGAGCUUGCGACGGCAAAGCCGAAGAAGCAUCAAGCUCCUAAACGAUCGCCCUCAUCAGCUUUAGGCGCGAGUUGAGCAAAGUUUUUACAUUGUUUGCUUAAUAGUUUACUAAUUUAACACUUUGUUGAUAUUGAACUGACUACAUUUUUUGCAAGUCGCAUCUAAAGCUCCUUUCAGCCGCUUUCUCUAAUGGUAAUAAACCAAGCGGCCACGCCACCCACCUAUGCAUUUGGCUGGCACCACACCCCGAGCUCGCACUGGAGCUGUCAGCUUAGAAGGAAAUAGAUAAUUAAAAUCUU